rnacentral:lncRNA from 1 species
GUCGCGGGCGGCGGGGCCGGGGCCGCGGGAGGGGCGGCGGGGGCAGACAAAGCGGCUAAUGAAUGGGCGCGCCCGCCGCGCCGUUCCCCGUCCCCAGCGCGCGGACCGCGCCGCGCCGAGCCGGCGCCCAGAUCAUUGGCAGGCCUAGAGUUUGCAGAGUGAGAACUGGGAAGUGGACCUCUGGAAGCAUGAAUACAGUAAGUGUCCAUGGACAUGCAGGAGGGCUGUGUGUGCUGUCGAGGUGGUGGGGACCCUGUAUUCAAGACCUGCAGCCAGUCUCCCCUGUGCAGACGAGCGUCCCCACGGCCAGGCCCGCAGCAGCAGAGCCCCAGCACGGAGCACUCACAGGAACAGCCUAGAGACGGAACGGCUGUGACAGGGUGACGAUGAUGCUGGGCCGGCGCACAGGGGCACUCAGACCAGCUCUCCGUUGACCCGAGACACUAGCAUGAGGAAGGAGC